CAGGAUGCAACUCAGCGUGGCCAACACAUCUCUCCACACCCUACUGAGCAAAGCAAAAUGGCUACCAGCCCUCAACAGUUUUGAAUUAAAUUCAAAUAAGUUCCAUAGGGACUAUGCUGAUGCUGGCUAAAAUAAAUAAACCAAGAUAUGAACAACAUCACUCAACCAAGACAUCUGGUUGGUCACCUAGGCUCUUGAAUGGACCUGUGGACUCAAAUGGCCUUAAUAACACACAAAGAACACAGGUGGGCAUACACAUACUCAGGAAGAUGAAAGUGUCCAAAGGAUCCCAUACUUGAGCCCCAGGCAUCGAGUUCCCCUCCUCAGGAGCAGAGACCAAUAGUUCAAGUUUCUUUCAUGUCUUUUGAUGUUUCACGCAUUGUGGUAGGCACCCCAACACCAACAGUUAGCUAAGAAGUAUUAAGAACGGGAAAUGUUUAUUUUGUUUAGAAAAUGCCAAUAAACUUCAGGCAUAAGGCACAAUUUCAGUUUCAGCCCAUUAAACUCAACGUGCUAAUUACCUGUUACAUGUACAAAAAAAAUCAUGCUUUUGUUUCACCCUAUGAAUCACAGAACAUCUUUGGAAUACCCGAGAAACUGGUAAUGGUGGUAGUCUGACAAGGAGAAGCUCCAUGACU
rnacentral:lncRNA from 1 species